rnacentral:lncRNA from 1 species
AGUCCAGCGGCGUCAGCGCUGCGGAGCAGGAAAGGGUCCCAAACGCAGGGCGGCCAUGCAGCGUGGCGCCCACCUGUCCCUCUCCUCGAAGCGCUGAGCCAGCACGAUGCACAUAAGGGAAGGAGGAAGGUGGCUUGAGGGCAGUGACCGAGCGGACAGCGGAAGCCCAUUUCAGGAGCCCCGGCAGGUGUCUUCUGGUGGACCCAACUCUGUUGGUACUUGUCGUCUCCAAAAAGUCCCCAAAUGCGCUAGAGGCCAGCCAGCCCGGUAUCCGAGAGGGAAGGAGGUGGAACGCAUCAGAGGCCACGAAAGGAGCACAAAGGGGGACCGCUGGCCUAAGACAAAGGAGGCGCGAGGAAAAACGCGGAGCUCGCGUCUCCCAGGGUGAUGCCCGGCGCCGCUGGCCCCAGCAAAACUUCUCUACCCCGGCCUCGGGCAGGUGCCCGCCCGGGGAGGGGGCUGUCGUCCAGGCCAGGUACAACUCCCCUUCCCACCCUUCACUCCCUACCCAAGGGUCUCGAGAAAAGAGAAGAGGAACAUCAAGACCCCCCUCCACGGCACGUGACGCGACGCAACGCAGGUAGCGCAGCGCGGGCACCACGGGCAACCCAAACCCCUCUCCACACACAACCGCGGAGCUGCCUGCCAGGCCUGCUCACUGCAGAGCCGCCGCUGCCUGCGGGACGGGCAAAAGCCAAGCCGCCAGGUGGACCUCGGGGAAGCCGCCGCCAACACUCACCUCACAGGACCAGGAGGUUCCAUCGGGGCGCUGCCGCGAAUCGCGCCACUUACAGCCCUCACCCCAGGGGCAGGUUUGCGCCUGCGCAGGUCGCAGCCUCGGCCUCCAACUCCCAGAAUCCUCCUCGCCGCCGGCUUCCGUUCGCGGACUUUGGCCCAGGCGCGUGGGCGCUGCCGAGAGGCUGGGAGCCCGGGAACCGGUUCCUGGACUUGAGCGGAGCGAGAAAGAGCGCGCCGCCUGCACGACUGGACUGGAGCGGCCGGGUGCCCUGGAGGCCCCUGGGAAUUGCAGUCCUUGCGCAGAUGAGAAAACUCAAGACUCAGAAACAAUAAAGGUUACAGAGAUGAAAUUGACAGAGCCUGAAUUUCAGGUUAUGAUUCUGUAUGGUUUCUUUGGUGCUGCAUUAGACCUGAGCUCUGAUUGAAAAUUCUUCCACGCUCGCUACAUUCCAAAACUUUAUCUCCAAUAUGAAUUUCCAGAUGCCUCACAAGGUCUGAGCUCCAUCUGAAGGCUUUCCCAUGCUUGUCACAUUCAUAGGGCUUUUCUCCACUAUGAAUUCUAUGAUGUCGAAUAAAGUGUGAGCUCUGAUUACAAG